AGUGAACGCUGGUGGUAGGCCUAACACAUGCAAGUCGAACGGCAGCACAGUAAGAGCUUGUUCUUACGGGUGGCGAGUGGCGGACGGGUGAGGAAUACAUCGGAAUCUACUUUUUCGUGGGGGAUAACGUAGGGAAACUUACGCUAAUACCGCAUACGACCUACGGGUGAAAGCAGGGGAUCUUCGGACCUUGCGCGAUUGAAUGAGCCGAUGUCGGAUUAGCUAGUUGGCGGGGUAAAGGCCCACCAAGGCGACGAUCCGUAGCUGGUCUGAGAGGAUGAUCAGCCACACUGGAACUGAGACACGGUCCAGACUCCUACGGGAGGCAGCAGUGGGGAAUAUUGGACAAUGGGCGCAAGCCUGCUCCAGCCAUGCCGCGUGGGUGAAGAAGGCCUUCGGGUUGUAAAGCCCUUUUGUUGGGGAAGAAGAGCAGGAGGUUAAUACCCCGCUGUUCUGACGGUACCCAAAGAAUAAGCACCGGCUAACUUCGUG
rnacentral:rRNA from 1 species